GACGAACGCUGGCGGCGUGCUUAACACAUGCAAGUCGAACGGAAAGGCCCUGCUUUUGUGGGGUGCUCGAGUGGCGAACGGGUGAGUAACACGUGAGUAACCUGCCCUUGACUUUGGGAUAACUUCAGGAAACUGGUGCUAAUACCUGAUAGGAGCUCCUGCUGCAUGGUGGGGUUUGGAAAGUUUCGGCGGUUGGGGAUGGACUCGCGGCUUAUCAGCUUGUUGGUGGGGUAGUGGCUUACCAAGGCUUUGACGGGUAGCCGGCCUGAGAGGGUGACCGGCCACAUUGGGACUGAGAUACGGCCCAGACUCCUACGGGAGGCAGCAGUGGGGAAUAUUGCACAAUGGGCGGAAGCCUGAUGCAGCAACGCCGCGUGCGGGAUGACGGCCUUCGGGUUGUAAACCGCUUUCGCCUGUGACGAAGCGUGAGUGACGGUAAUGGGUAAAGAAGCACCGGCUAACUACGUG
rnacentral:rRNA from 1 species